UCUCAAAAGCAGAACCUUGAAGUUGGGGUCGUCACGGGAUUCAGCGUCCCGGGGGAGAGGGGGAGGCAUAUGUGAUGGAGACACCAAACCCUUCUACAAAAAUCUCCUCUGUGUGAAAGGACGGAUGAGGACGGGGGAGACGUCUGGAGAGCACCCGGGCGUGGAAGAAGCUGUCCAGACCUGCGAACUGAGUCCUGCAAGAUUGAUCGAAGAUGGACACGAUGCUUGUUUUGGGCAGAACAUUGUACUAAGCACUUGGGAGAGUACAAUAGAGUAAGUAGAUAUGA